rnacentral:misc_RNA from 1 species
CCGAGUUUUCCAACUCCCAAACCCUUCUGUGAACCUAUACCGACACGUUGCUUCGGCGGGAUCGCCCCGGCGCCCUCAGCGGCGGCCGGGCCCAGGCGCCCGCCGGAGGACCACACCAAACUCUUCAGAUUUUCUUCAGGCGUCUUCUGAGUGACACAAAAAAAAUGAAUCA